ACUGUUCCUAUGGACGGAAUCUCUGACUUCAGAAUCAUGAGGCUUUUGUUUAAGAAUUCCUUAAGACGUUUCAGAUCCUUAAUUCCAGGCCAACCAGUUUGAAGAGCCCCACAGAGGAAGUGAACCAGCAUGAGAAUACAGCAUCUUCAACCCCACCCCAUGACUCCACCCUGCUUCACCCUGCACUUCUCCACCGGCUUUUCCCCGGCUCUGCCCCCGCCUGCUGAGGAAUCUCGGUCAACACAAGAGAGGACGGCGACUCCCUUGUACAGCAAGUCCUGAAUAAAUCGUCUUUUGUUCUCA